UUUUUUUCUUGUGAUGUUAUUUUAAUUUAACUUAAACUACAUUACGCUAUGUUUUAUGCAAUAAAACAGUAAAGAGGUUUUCUAUAGGUGAAUUUUUACCUAUGUCAUUCGCGCGUUUGUCAAAUUGACUGAUGUGUAUGUGUACAUAGAGUGAGGUUAAUUUUGGGUUUAUUAUUGUUGAAUAGAUAAGUUUAUUUUGGCAGAGAAGAGAAAACGAGGAUAAACCUUUCUUGCAGAAGAAAAAGACAAGCUAGUGAAAUUGCUGACGUCUCAUAGAGACACAAUAUUAAACAAAAAACGGAUGGGACCACGAACGAAGCCAAAAACAAAGCUUGGAUCCAGUCACAAAUAGUUUUAAUGCGAUAGGAACCGUUUACAGUUUCAGGUGGUGCGAGAAAUUGGAAAGACGUGUAAAAACAUGCUGCGCCCAGCCCACCUCAAAUUGAAUUGGUGCAGGAGGAUGAUGAUAAUGUUUGGUACAUCAUAUGAGGACUAAUAUUAAAAUAUUUGUUUACUA